UUAGUGGAAGCGUCUGGAAAGGCGCGCGAUACAGGGUGACAGCCCCGUACACAAAAGCGCAUGUGCUGUGAGCUCGAUGAGUAGGGCGGGACACGUGGUAUCCUGUCUGAAUAUGGGGGGACCAUCCUCCAAGGCUAAAUACUCCUGACUGACCGAUAGUGAACCAGUACCGUGAGGGAAAGGCGAAAAGAACCCCGGCGAGGGGAGUGAAAAAGAACCUGAAACCGUGUACGUACAAGCAGUGGGAGCCCCACCACUAAGCCAGUGGUGAACUCCACAUACGCAUCCUUUGCUGAGGAUACGGUUAACGGAGCGAAAGCGACGUUCAACCGCAAAAGAAGCAGAGGGGGCUUAGUGGUGGGGUGACUGCGUACCUUUUGUAUAAUGGGUCAGCGACUUAUAUUCUGUAGCAAGGUUAACCGWAUAGGGGAGCCGGAGGGAAACCGAGUCUUAAUUGGGCGUUAAGUUGCAGGGUAUAGACCCGAAACCCGGUGAUCUAGCCAUGGGCAGGUUGAAGGUUGGGUAACACUAACUGGAGGACCGAACCGACUAAUGUUGAAAAAUUAGCGGAUGACCUGUGGCUGGGGGUGAAAGGCCAAUCAAACCGGGAGAUAGCUGGUUCUCCCCGAAAGCUAUUUAGGUAGCGCCUCGUGAAUU
rnacentral:rRNA from 1 species